rfam:Candidatus Melainabacteria bacterium RIFCSPLOWO2_12_FTLL_35_11 rifcsplowo2_12_scaffold_1221, whole genome shotgun sequence.
GUCCGAGUGGCGGAAUGGCAGACGCGUACGUUUGAGGGGCGUAUGGGCAACCGUAAGGGUUCAAGUCCCUUCUCGGACA